UGAGGAAUAUUGCUCAAUGGGCGAAAGCCUGAAGCAGCGACGCCGCGUGAGGGAUGAAAUCCGUUAGGAUGUAAACCUCUUUUGCGAGGGAAGAAUGACCCGAUGAAUCGGGUAGGGACUGUACCUCGUGAAUAAGCACCGGCUAACUACGUGCCAGCAGCCGCGGUAAUACGUAGGGUGCGAGCGUUGUCCGGAAUUACUGGGUGUAAAGGGUCCGCAGGCGGGGAGAUAAGUCGACGGUGAAAUUCUGCAGCUCAACUGCAGACCUGCCGUUGAUACUGUCUCUCUUGAGUUCGAGAGAGGAUAAUGGAAUUCAUGGUGUAGCGGUGAAAUGCGUAGAUAUCAUGAAGAACACCGAUUGCGAAGGCAGUUAUCUGGCUCGACACUGACGCUCAGGGACGAAAGCGUGGGUAGCAAACAGG
rnacentral:rRNA from 1 species